AGAUAAAGAGUGGCAAGAGCUCAACCUUGUGGAUUCCCAAGGCACCUCAAGAGAUUCAAGGAUGCCAUAAAAGCCUAAGCUUGGGGAUGCCCCGGGAAGGCAUCCCCUCUCUCAUCUUCAAUCCAUCGGUAACGUUUCUUGGGGCUAUAUUUUUAUUCACCAUAUGUUAUGUGUUUUUGCUUGGAGCGUCUUGUAUCGUAGGAGUCUUUUAUUUUUGUUGUUGUGUCACAAUCAUCCUUACUGCACACCUAGAGAGAUAUACAUGCACACACCGUGAUUUUGUCG
rnacentral:lncRNA from 1 species